rnacentral:rRNA from 1 species
CUACGGGUCGCACCAGUUAGGAAUAAUCUACAAUGCGCGAAAGCGUGAUAGUUUGAGCCAGAGUGUUUUUCAAUUGAAAGACUUUUGUGAAAUGUAAAAAGUUUCACGAAUAAGGACUGGGUAAGACUAGUGCCAGCCGCCGCGGUAAUACUAGCGGUCCAAGUCGCAACCAUUUUUAUUGGGUCUAAAACAUCCGUAGCUUGCUUGACAAGUCUUCUGUGAAAUUUUACGUCUAAAACGUAGAGCGCGCAGAAGGUACUAUCAAGCUAGAGACCGGAAGACGUAAGAAGUACAUUCAGAGUAGCGGUUAAAUGUGUUAAUCCUGGAUGGACUAACAAGAGCGAAGGCAUCUUACGAGGACGGUUCUGACAGUAAGGGAUGAAAGCUAGGGGCGCAAAUGGGAUUAGAUACCCCGUAGUC